GACGAACGCUGGCGGCGUGCUUAACACAUGCAAGUCGAACGAAGAGCGAUGGAAGCUUGCUUCUCUCAAUCUUAGUGGCGAACGGGUGAGUAACGCGUAAUCAACCUGCCCUUCAGAGGGGGACAACAGUUGGAAACGACUGCUAAUACCGCAUACGAUCUAAUCUCGGCAUCGAGGAUAGAUGAAAGGUGGCCUCUACAUGUAAGCUAUCACUGAAGGAGGGGAUUGCGUCUGAUUAGCUAGUUGGAGGGGUAACGGCCCACCAAGGCGAUGAUCAGUAGCCGGUCUGAGAGGAUGAACGGCCACAUUGGGACUGAGACACGGCCCAGAAUCCUACGGGAGGCAGCAGUGGGGAAUCUUCCGCAAUGGACGAAAGUCUGACGGAGCAACGCCGCGUGAGUGAUGACGGCCUUCGGGUUGUAAAGCUCUGUUAAUCGGGACAAAAGGCCUUCUUGCGAAUAGUGAGAAGGAUUGACGGUACCGGAAGAGAAAGCCACGGCUAACUACGUG
rnacentral:rRNA from 1 species